UUGUUUUCAUCUUCCAGUCAACAUCCCUCAAUUACAAAUACACCGGGAUUGUUUUCCAGGGGAAAGCUGGCGAUGAUUUUAGGGCAGAAAGACCAAAUUAUGGUUUCCUGAAGAUGUGCUUGGAAAUUGAGAGGAAGACCUUUUUAACUUCAAGGAUGCCUGUCCUUGCUGUGGGUGCUUGAACUGCACUGAAGGAGCCAGACUGUUCUCCUUCAGGGAAGGCUGCAAAAUCUCCAAAGGAUGAAAUGACCUGUAUGUGGUUGGAGAGCAGGAUGAAGCUUUUUAAGGUAAUUUGGGAAGUUUUCCUCCCACCCUGUCCCAUCCCAUCAGAUGCCUGCACCUUUCCUUCAGACUUUUUCCAGAGGUACCCCAGACAUUCCUGCAGGAUGAUGGAGAGAACAGCUGGCACAGCCUUCUGGCAAAGGGGUUUAAUAUUCUCUUGGGCUCUGGCCUAAAGAAAUCAGUUUGCUCUCACAUGUUGUAAGGAAAGAGGGAAAAUAAAAGAUAAUU